AGCGAGGACCACACGCAGAAAGCGGACCGGCGCUCAGGCGGCUUCGCCGCCCCGCCCUGCCACUCCGUUCCGCUCUGCUCCCGCUCCCGCCCCGCUCGGUCCCGCCGUGCGCUGGAGGUGCUGUCGGGGCUGCGCCGCCGCGUUCCCCCCCGGAAGCGACCCACGGCGGCAGAUCCAACGUCUGGCUCUCCAGGAGAUCGUCCCCGGGGUUCUGUGGUCACCUGUGCAAAACCUUCCCCAUCUGCCCCUGACUGGAGUAGUUCAAAUGCAGACAAUCAUAUUGGUCAGGGAUCAGCCUUGACUUCAGGAAAAGGAAUUGCAACUAGUGAAGGACAAGAUCAUCUGUGACCUGGAAGGGAGGAAAGGCUCCAACAGAAUGGCUUUUGCCUUGAGACAGAGAAAUGAAGGGUUGGGCUCUGAUCAGAGAUGUUUGGCAGAGAUGAUGGUCAGUCCUUCCUCCUGAGAGAGCCUCACUUGCUCUCCCAGCUCCGAGACCUGCGCCUAUGAGAAAACAAGCUGUGCAAACCCUAACUGUGUCAACAAUAGAAGCCCGUCCAGCUGUCGUUGAUCUGCACAGCCAGAGAACUUCCUCCCUGAGGACACUGCUGUCAGAGCUGUGAGAUCAGAGCAGGAGGGUCAGGCCUGGCCUGAGCAGCCAGAUGGGUCCCCCAGCCCCCUGCAACCUCCCCCACAGCGUUGCCCUGGUUUGACCCAAUGGCUGCAUGUCCCCCAAAGUACAGCAGGACCCAGGGAAAGGGUGUGUGGAGCAGCUGUGCAGCAAUGAGGGACAGAGCUGCUUUGGGGAAGGCAGGAGGAUGAUUGCUUCCUCCAGCUCCCAUGGACCUCUGAGCAAAGGGGGCGAUUUCCAGCCCCUCUGAGGGAUUUAUAUUGUGGGACCUGAUAUAUGCUGGAGCCAUUUUGAGAGCAAGAGGUAUCCACCUGGAACCACAAACCCACCCAAAAUUGCAUUGGGGAGGUGUCAAACAGGAGACAAGGGAGAUUCAGGAACGAGCCAUGUGGGUGGGAAGGUUUUCACCCAGCACAGACUCUGCAGGUGGGAACGUGGACAGGGGCACCGGGCUGAGCUGGGUUGCUACCCCUCUGACCAAAACCGUCUGUGCCCCAGGGUGCAGGUGCCAGUGUGAUGGCCCAGGACAUCUGCAGCUCCCCAGGGGAUGGUGAGUACCGGGAUAGGUCCAUAAAUGGAGCUGUGGGUGACUGGAAUUGGGAAGAAAUAGGGGCUUUGUGUAGAUGGCAAAAUUGGGUGAACAAUUUGUCCUGCAUUUUGAGGGCCUUGCCUUGGCAUAGCUAAAGCACAAACAACAAAAGAAGCUGCGUAGCUAACAUGGCUACAGGCUCUGAAGUUAGAACUUCAGAGAAGGCUCCCUGCCAAGGUCAAGGAGGAGUCUUAGAAAGCUAAACAAGUUUUUUCGUCUCUUAUGGACACCUGCGAUGCUCCAAUUAACACCGGACAACAAAGUAUGUUUCUCUUAUGUAUCCAAUGCUGUGUGAAGAAGAAUCACACGUCCAGGUGUAGCAACAGUAUAUAAUAAACGUUCUUCUUCUAAUAAACGGACA
ensembl:lncRNA